rnacentral:lncRNA from 10 species
AAUUCUGCUAGUCUCCUCUUUCAAAUGUAAAUUCUCUAAAGGAAGUUACUUUGUUUGACUGAUUCACUCUUAUACCUUGAGAGCCCAGCAGCAGGUCCAGGAUAUAGUAGGUGCUCAAUAAAUAUUUGUAGAAGGAAGAACUCAUUGGAAGCAAUACAAGACACCCUGACAAGAUGUGGCGAGCAACUCCAGGGCAAAACCCCAGCCUGUUCCUCUGAACAUCCCCAUCAAACAGCACAGGGCCAGCUCCAAGCAGGCUUCAGGAGGUGUCGCCUGAAGGCAUCCCUGCUUUGACGGAUUUCCUGCCAUGCUGCUCUUCUCUAAGCGCUUCUCAGCCUGCUCAAUCCUUCUCCACUUUGCUGAAUGUUUUUCUGACCCCCUCCCCCACCUCCUUCAGCCACAGACCAAUACUCUGCUUGGCUUUCUGUCCCGUCCUGCAGCUGUGUGGUAUCAGAGAGCAGAACCUUGCAAAAGAUAAAGGCAGUAGAGAAGUGGCAAGUGGAAGGAGACACUCUUGUGUGAGCCAUUUUACCUGCUAUUUUUCGUAUGUGUCCUCACUGGAUCCUCACACCUGUGAGUUAGGGUGGAUUAUACCCAUUUGGAUGAUAAUGAAAGAGGCCGUGGAUCAGAGAGAAAAGGUCCUUAUCCUAGACCAGCCAGCGAGUAAGGAGGAGAUUCAAGAUGCAUCGGAGAAAAGAGACCUGAUCCAAGAAGCCUCGGGGGGUACUGCACCCCCCACCCCACUGCAUCUAGACCAGAGGGAAGAUGCAGGGUGAAGAGGGGAGAGGAGCCUAAAUGAAUGGGAAAUCGAGACACCGAGAACAAGACCAGACGUCGAGAGAGGCCACCAAGAUGCAGAAACCUCAUGAAGGGGCAUCUGUAUUGACUCAGAGAGCGGGAAAGAUAAAGAUGGCAGGUGGGAAGGAGCAGAGAAGGCGGCAGAGAGAGCCUCCGACAUGAGAGGGGGACCUGGAGAAGGCCCAGGGACAGAUCCAAGAGGCACAUCACGGCCUUCUCGCACUUAGGAACGCUAGACAGCUCUUCAGCACCAUGCUUGGGGGACCUUUUAAACGCUGAUAUCACCACUAAAAGGCCCAAAGAUGCAAAGCACGUGGCACUAAACAGACCGAGAAAAGACACUCGUUCACAGUAUAAGAGCCGAAAUGAGAAGGCACCCUCGUUCAGCCUCGUCUGGGAACCCACACAUAGGGCUACUCAAGAUUUUCUCUGCUUUGCGCCUGUCCAAGAAUAACCACAAAAGCCCUUCGCGUAUUGAUUCUGGGCUUCUAAUAAAUUUCAGCGAGUAGGCAAAUUCGCAGACACAGAAUCUGGGAAUCAUGAGGGCCAACUGUGUCAACAGCGCAGAUGUUAGAAACUAUGACGGACAGGAAGAGGUCUUGGACUUUGGUUCUGUCUUGAUGAGAGACACACUUGAUGAAAGGUCUCAGGCAAGUGAAUGCAAAUCUCUAAGACUGUUUCAUCUUCUGUAAAAUGGGAAUGUGCAUGCUCUGUCUUUCUUUCUGUUUCUGUACCGCCCUUUCCUUCUUAAAGCUGGUUGUGAAGAAGUUUGUUGAGGAAUUAUGAGAAGUUUGCUGCAGGGCAGUUGAGGAUAGAAGAAGAUCACAGGAGGAGGAAACAGGGUCAAAAAAGGUAAGAGCCCAGGGGAGGUAGAUUUGGACUCCAUAUAAGGAAGAAGGUUUUUUUUUUUUUGAGACAGAGUUUCGCUUUUGUCGCCCAGGCUGGAGUGCAAUGGUGCGAUCUCGGCUUACUGCAACCCCCGCCUCGCGGGUUCAAGCGAUUCUCUCGCCUCAGCCUCCUGAGUAGCUGGGAUUACAGGCACAUGCCACCACAUCCGGCCAAUUUUUGUAUUUUUAGUAGAGAUGGGGUUUCUCCACGUUGGUCAGGCUGGUCUCGAACUCCUGACCUCAGGUGAUCAGCCCACUUCAGCCUCCCAAAGUGCUAGGAUUACAGGCGUGAGCCACCAAGCCCAGCCUCCUACUCUUGAUUUUUAUAAAAGUACGAGCCCCUCCAGAGCAUGAGGGAUUGUGGAUAGACUUCAGGGGCCUGUGCACUUGUACAGGAAAAAAAAUCCUAUGUCUUCAUUUUCAUCAUCCUCCAACAAAAACUCAACCUUUCCUCAAUUAAAUAUGUAAGCAGCAAACCAUGCUAGUUUCAGCAAGACCCAUGCCUGUAUCCCCAGUAGGAAUCACAGAUAUCUCCAUAUCCCAUCACAGUGGUGCAGAUUUCCCAAAAUAGUGUUUAUGCGCCUCGUGAUUUUGAAAUUAGAGUUGUUAAAAUCCACCGCCAAUGUCUAACAUGUUGACAAAAAAAGAUGAUAUUAUGAUAUCACAAAUUUUGCUUUUGAAAAAUAUUUUGAGAAACUACAUUUUAGUGUAACUGGCCUCUUUUGUUAUUUCAUGUUAUGCAUUUAUAAGCAUUAUUCUGAGAAGGACCACGGCAGCCUGCCAAAGAGAUCCAUGACCCCCUAAAAGCCAAAGGACCCAGUUUUAGAGUAAAUGGACCCCUGACCACUACGUGGUGGAUGCGGCCAGAGGAUGGGGACUGGGCAGAGAAGAAGGAAGCGGGAAGGGAGGAGCAAGGCAGAGCGUGGCCUCUGGAGGAGACAGUUGGAGGGUAAGGGGUGGCACUGGCAAGCCUAGUGGGGGAUGUGUUGGAGGGAAGGCACACAGCCCAGUGGAGUAGGGGCAACAUCCAGGAAGGGAGCAGCAGGCCCCUACCAGGAUAGCCAGGGCUGUGGCAGGACCAUGGGUUCAGAGGGCUGCCUGCCUGGGUUAAAAUCCCCCCUCCUUCCUUGAGCCUCAGUUUCCCCCUCUGU